AUAACUGUAGUAAUUCUAGAGCUAAUACAUGCCACUAUGCCCUGACCCGCGAGGGGACGGGUGGAUUUAUUAGAACAGAACCAACCGGUGGUGGCUUCGGUUGCUGCCGUUGAACUCUGUGAUGACUCUGGAUAACUUCACUGAUCGCAGUCGGCCCUGUGUCGGCGACGGAUCUUUCAAAUGUCUGCCCUAUCAAUUGACGAUGGUAGGUGAUCUGCCUACCAUGGUGAUAACGGGUAACGGGGAAUCAGGGUUCGAUUCCGGAGAGGGAGCCUGAGAAACGGCUACCACUUCCAAGGAAGGCAGCAGGCACGCAAAUUACCCAAUCCCGGCACGGGGAGGUAGUGACGAAAAAUACGGAUACGGGACUCAUCAGAGGCUCCGUAAUUCGAAUGAGUACA
rnacentral:rRNA from 1 species